rnacentral:rRNA from 1 species
AACUAACGCUGGCGGCGUGCCUAACACAUGCAAGUCGUACGAGAAGGUUGGCUUCGGCCGAUGAGUAAAGUGGCGCACGGGUGAGUAAUGCGUGGAUAAUCUGCCCUUUAGUUGGGAAUAACGUACCGAAAGGUGCGCUAAUACCUGAUAAUACUGCAUAACUACUGUUGUGUAGUCAAAGAAGGCCUCUGUUUACAAGCUUUUGCUGAAGGAUGAGUCCGCGUACCAUUAGCUGGUUGGUGGGGUAAUGGCCUACCAAGGCUACGAUGGUUAGCUGGUCUGAGAGGAUGAUCAGCCACACUGGAACUGAGACACGGUCCAGACUCCUACGGGAGGCAGCAGUGAGGAAUAUUGCGCAAUGGGGGCAACCCUGACGCAGCAACGCCGCGUGAGUGAGGAAGGUUUUCGGACCGUAAAGCUCUGUCGAGCGGGAAGAAAUGUAUCAUGGCUAAUAUCCAUGAUACUUGACGGUACCGCUAAAGGAAGCACC